GGGAGCGGAAGGGGCCCGGUGGCCCCCCCGGUCUUCAAAACCGUUGCAGGGCAGCCCGCGCUGUCCUGGGUGGGUUCGACUCCCAUGCGCUCCCGCCA
rnacentral:tRNA from 2 species